rnacentral:rRNA from 1 species
AUCUGGCCCCCGCGGGUCCGAGUUGUAAUUUGCAGAGGAUGCUUUUGGUGCGGCGCCUUCCGAGUUCCCUGGAACGGGACGCCAUAGAGGGUGAGAGCCCCGUCCGGUCGGAUGCCUAGCCUCUGUAAAGCUCCUUCGACGAGUCGAGUAGUUUGGGAAUGCUGCUCAAAAUGGGAGGUAUAUGUCUUCUAAAGCUAAAUACCGGCCAGAGACCGAUAGCGCACAAGUAGAGUGAUCGAAAGAUGAAAAGCACUUUGAAAAGAGGGUUAAAUAGUACGUGAAAUUGUUGAAAGGGAAGCGCUCAUGACCAGACUUGGGCGUGGUGAAUCACCCGGCGUUCUCGCCGGUGCACUUUGCCUGUCCAGGCCAGCAUCAGCUCGCCUCGGGGGAUAAAGGCUUCGGGAAUGUGGCUCCCUCGGGAGUGUUAUAGACCGUUGCGCAAUACCCUGGGGUGGGCUGAGGUACGCGCUCCGCAAGGAUGCUGGCGUAAUGGUCAUCAGCGACCCGUCUUGAAACACGGACCAAGGAGUCGUCUUCGUAUGCGAGUGUUCGGGUGUCAAACCCCUACGCGUAAUGAAAGUGAACGCAGGUGAGAGCUUCGGCGCAUCAUCGACCGAUCCUGAUGUUCUCGGAUGGAUUUGAGUAAGAGCAUACGGGGCCGGACCCGAAAGAAGGUGAACUAUGCCUGUAUAGGGUGAAGCCAGAGGAAACUCUGGUGGAGGCUCGCAGCGGUUCUGACGUGCAAAUCGAUCGUCAAAUAUGGGCAUGGGGGCGAAAGA